ACGCAUCUAUUGGCUAUAACGUGUGGAAUGAGUUACCAUAUAUUUUUAGUUUAUUUUCUGUUUUGGAUUCUCCCCUGUUUUACCGGUUUAUAUUCAAGGACGGCGUUACAGGGGAGUGACUAUUACUACACAAUGUCGUGAAAUGUCUCCGCCUGCGACUGAAACGCGGAGAAGCGCCGGAAUCCCCCCGCAGGCUGCUGCUGCUGCGGGCGUUUCCUCUCCUUUAAGAGGCCGGAGUCAAAACAGAAGCGCAGCGAGUCAGAAAAGCGACACCACAGACCCAUUUCCCCACGAACGACAGAUCGCGUUACAGGUUCCGUGAACGAGCGCUGUGCACUGUGCUGUUGGGGGAGUGCGUCGCUGAGUACUCAGGCACCCACGAAAGAUGUACGGAGUUCCCGGAAUGCCAGACCUCCUGCAACCGGCUGGUCCUUUCCAAGAUCGCCCGGCCCGGUACGACCAGGAUAUGGGAGAUAAUUACAGUGGGAACCCUUUUAGACACGACUCCACUCCGGUGAGGCUUCACCGUCGUGCUCCGAAACUGGGUCAGAUCGGACGCUCCAAGAAAGUGGAUAUUGAAGAUGAAAAUUUGGACAACAUCCUGAAUGCCAGUUGCCACUUCCCGGUGCCGGUCUCACCUGUUGCCUAGACGUCGCCAUCUGUGCCAAUGCUAAAAACGCCAAAUUUAAAAAUAUCUAUGUUGUUUUAUAAGGACAUCUUACAUUUACAUGGCUUGUUUUUACGCAAAUUGCGCAGCUGCUGAUAUUUUCUGGGUCUUUGUGAAUCAGAAGUAAAUGUUUUGCUACUGGUACAUUGGGCUGAAUAAAUUGUGGUUCUGGGGUCGCAUAUGAGGAAUGUGUUGCCCUGCUCCAGCUGCGUUUUGGGGGGAUGAGAUCUGCAGUGUGGGUUAUUUAUUAUCUUAUAUUAGUGUUAGGGUCAAAUUGACUCAAAGAAUAAUCCUGUUUUAAAACUUUUCAGACUUUUUUCUUCAGCCUGAAAUAUUGAAUUAUUUAGGAUAAUAAACAUAUACAUAUAAAAUAAA